rnacentral:rRNA from 1 species
UCCUACGGGGGGCAGCAGUGGGGAAUAUUGGACAAUGGGCGAAAGCCUGAUCCAGCAAUGCCGCGUGAGUGAUGAAGGCCUUAGGGUUGUAAAGCUCUUUUACCCGGGAUGAUAAUGGCAGUACCGGGAGAAUAAGCUCCGGCUAACUCCGUGCCAGCAGCCGCGGUAAUACGGAGGGAGCUAGCGUUAUUCGGAAUUACUGGGCGUAAAGCGCACGUAGGCGGCUUUGUAAGUUAGAGGUGAAAGCCUGGAGCUCAACUCCAGAAUUGCCUUUAAGACUGCAUCGCUUGAAUCCAGGAGAGGUG